rnacentral:rRNA from 1 species
UACGUAGGGUGCGAGCGUUAAUCGGAAUACUGGGCGUAAAGCGUGCGCAGGCGGUGAUGUAAGACAGAUGUGAAAUCCCCGGGCUCAACCUGGGAACUGCAUUUGUGACUGCAUCGCUGGAGUACGGCAGAGGGGGAUGGAAUUCCGCGUGUAGCAGUGAGAUGCGUAGAGAUGCGGAGGAACACCGAUGGCGAAGGCAGCCCCCCUGGGCCAACACUGACGCUCAGGCACGAA